rnacentral:rRNA from 1 species
UAGGGAAUCUUCGGCAAUGGACGAAAGUCUGACCGAGCAACGCCGCGUGAGUGAAGAAGGUUUUCGGAUCGUAAAACUCUGUUGUUAGAGAAGAACAAGGGUGAGAGUAACUGUUCACCCCUUGACGGUAUCUAACCAGAAAGCCGCGGCUAACUACGUGCCAG